CAUCUUAGUACCUGCAGGAAGAGAAAGAAAAUUCGAUUCCCUGAGUAGCGGCGAGCGAAACGGGAAGAGCCCAAACCAACAAGCUUGCUUGUUGGGGUUGUAGGACUCCAAUAUGGUAGUCUGUUAGUAUAGUUGAAGGAUUUGGAAAAUUCCGCUAAAGAGGGUGAAAGCCCCGUAGACGAAAUGCUGACAACACCUAGGAGGAUCCUGAGUACGGCGGAACACGAGAAAUUCCGUCGGAAUCCGCGGGGACCAUCCCGCAAGGCUAAAUACUCCCUAGUGACCGAUAGUGAACCAGUACCGUGAGGGAAAGGUGAAAAGCACCCCGGAAGGGGAGUGAAAUAGAUCCUGAAACCGUGUGCCUACAACAAGUCAAAGCUCGUUAAUGAGUGAUGGCGUGCCUUUUGUAGAAUGAACCGGCGAGUUACGAUUGCAUGCGAGGUUAAGUCGAAGAGACGGAGCCGCAGCGAAAGCGAGUCUGAAUAGGGCGAAUGAGUAUGUAGUCGUAGACCCGAAACCAUGUGAUCUACCCAUGUCCAGGUUGAAGGUGCGGUAAAACGCACUGGAGGACCGAACCCACGUACGUUGAAAAGUGCGGGGAUGAGGUGUGGGUAGCGGAGAAAUUCCAAACGAACUUGGAGAUAGCUGGUUCUCUCCGAAAUAGCUUUAGGGCUAGCCUCGGAAUUGAGAAUGAUGGAGGUAGAGCACU
rnacentral:rRNA from 1 species